CGGCGGUCCCACCUGACCCCAUGCCGAACUCAGAAGUGAAACGCCGUAGCGCCGAUGGUAGUGUGGGGUCUCCCCAUGCGAGAGUAGGGAACUGCCAGGC
rnacentral:rRNA from 2 species